GUGGCCUGGGUCAAUGGCCCACAUUGCACUUGGUGGGUGCGUUGGCCCAUCAUCUCCCCAAGUGGGAGAGUGAACGUCAUAAUUUGUGGUAGAGGGGGUACGCGUUCGCGCGGCCCCUGC
rnacentral:snRNA from 16 species